rfam:Oryza glaberrima chromosome 8 Oglab08_0017_22, whole genome shotgun sequence.
AAAAAAAGACACCCUAGGUUUCCGUGCCAACGUUUGACUGUUCGUUUUAUAUGAAAUUUUUUUAUAAUUAGUAUUUUCAUUGUUGUUAGAUGAUAAGAUAUAAUUAAUACUUUAUACGUGACUUAUCUUUUUAAUUUUUUCAUAAUUUUUUUAAAUAAGACGAACGGUCAAACGUUGGACACGGAGACCAGGGUUUGUCUUUUU